rnacentral:rRNA from 1 species
UACCUGCAGCUCGAGUGGUAACCGCUAUUAUUGGGCCUAAAGCGUCCGUAGCCGGUUUGGUAAAUAUCUGGGUAAAUCGUGAGGCUUAACUUCACGAAUUUCGGAUAGACUGCCAGACUUGGGAUCGGGGGAGGUCAGAGGUACUCCAGGGGUAGCGGUGAAAUGUUGUAAUCCUUGGAGGACCACCGGUAGCGAAGGCGUCUGACUAGAACGAGUCCGACGGUGAGGGACGAAGCCCUGGGGCGCAAACCGGAUUAGAUACCCGGGUAGUCCAGGGUGUAAACAAUGUGGGCUUUGUAUUGGAGGUCCCACGUGGGCGUCCAGUGCAGAAGAGAGGUUGUUAAGCCCACCGCCUGGGAAGUACGGUCGCAAGGCUGAAACUUAAAGGAAUUGGCGGGGGAGCACAGCAACGGGAGGAGCGUGCGGUUU